CAGCAGCAGCCGCGGUAAUACGUAUGUCACGAGCGUUAUCCGGAUUUAUUGGGCGUAAAGCGCGUCUAGGUGGUUAUAUAAGUCUGAUGUGAAAAUGCAGGGCUCAACUCUGUAUUGCGUUGGAAACUGUAUAACUAGAGUACUGGAGAGGUAAGCGGAACUACAAGUGUAGAGGUGAAAUUCGUAGAUAUUUGUAGGAAUGCCGAUGGGGAAGCCAGCUUACUGGACAGAUACUGACGCUGAAGCGCGAAAGCGUGGGUAGCAAACAGGAUUAGAUACCCCCGUAGUCCCUGUCUCUUAUACA
rnacentral:rRNA from 1 species